rnacentral:lncRNA from 1 species
AACAUCUUUGUUUGUAUGUGGUGCUGAGGAUCGAACCCGGGCCGCACGCAUGCCAGGCGAGUGUGCUACCGCUUGAGCCACAUUCCCAGCCCCCCAAAGUAUUGUUUUAGAAUCACUUAAGAGUCUUUAAAAUAGAUUUCUGUCCUUUUCCAUACUGCAAGGCAUCAAUGUGAAUGACAAUAAUUAAGAUGACUCUCUAGAUAUUUCUGAUUGUACCACACAGGCAGGUUGUUUUCAACUUUGUUGUCCCCCAAAAACUUGACACCUGAACAUCCAUGUAGCCCACUUAAGGGAGAGUCAUACUCCCCUGACUUGUAGAAAUAAGUGCCAAGGAUUGAAGGAAUAAAAAAGGUUACAUUUAAGAGUUUUUAACAACUGAUCUGUGCAAUAAACUUGAACUUUCUUUGAAUAGAGUAAGCAGCUUUGCGUCUCUUCCACAGAAAACCCCGCCUCCUAGCCUGGCACCACAGCAGAUUUCCUAGGCUGAAUAGAGAAUAGUCAGAGUUACAGGCAGAUCCUUGGGGGAAACAUUUACAGAGUAUAAAUCUGAUUCUCAUACAAGGACUGUGUGUUGUCUAGUGUAGGGUGGGUGGUGUUGCAGCGGCAAUGGUAAUGGUGCAGCGUAAAUGUGUGUGUAUAAGCACUGUCAGAAUCAGAAAGAAAAGAGAGACAGUGGAAUGAGUUAGCUCACCAUGUAUUUACAUUCAUUGAGCUAUAAAAUUUAUCUCUAAAAAAAAAAAAAAAAAAAACCACACACAGAAAACCAAAAAACAACUUUAUUUUGUUGGAUCCUAAUCCAACCAUUUUCAGCCAAAUAGCACUUUGAUUUUACAGGAAAUAAACUCAGCAUCCCAUAGAGUUGGGGAAUUGUGGGUUGCUACUGUGAUAAAAAUUAACCAUCUGCUGAAUAUCUAAGCAAGAAUUGUUACUGCCCAGAUUCUAAGACAGAGCUUCCCGUAGAUUCAGAUGAUUUCAGAAGAAUUUUUAUGAUGAGAAUUAACUCUAAAUGGCCCAUCUGCUGACAUUCUCUGUUCCAAAUUAGAGCUGCCUCGGUC